rnacentral:misc_RNA from 1 species
GGGACUUUCUUCGUUUUAUCAUAGAAGUUAUCAUUACUCUAUGCGAUUUGUGAUCAAUGGUGCGAAUGACAAUUGGCAAGUUUGGGGUUACCUGCACGAAAAUGGUUUAAGCCAAUUUGGUUUGGCUUCCCCUUACAAUAUAUUUUCUUGCUUCUUCUUUUCACUGAUGUGGGACAUCCAAUGCUCACCCUCAUGCAACUGGACUGGAUUGUGCUCAUGUUUAUAGGUCCAGUUAUCACUUGCACUAUAUGUGGUGCCCAUCCACUAGAGUUAGUUGUUUUUUUUACACUUCUAUUUUUUUACAAGCCAAUGGAUCCACCUCAGUCUGGCUAACUGCUGAACUUCUCACCAUGUUUAUCAUGGUCCCGAAAUGUGACCUGCUCUGAUAACAUGUGAAUUCUCUGAUCUGAAGAGGCAGAUGACAAUCUGCGCUUAAGCCCAUUUGGCUUGGCUUGGCUUCCUGUUACUAAAUAUUUUCUUGUUUGUUACUGAUGUGGGACAUCCAACAAUUAGGUUAUGUUAAUCACCUAGAGGUUCAAGUGGCUUAAUUUUGCCAUCCAUGUCUCUUAAUUAACAUUCAAGGAACUAGAAAUAGAUUGCUUAAAGC